ACUCCUACGGGAGGCAGCAGUAGGGAAUAUUGGACAAUGGGCGAAAGCCUGAUCCAGCAAUGCCGCGUGAGUGAUGAAGGUUUAUGGAUCGUAAAGCUCUGUCGUAUAGGAAUAAAUGCCUGUGGUUAAUACCCGCAGGAGCUGAAGGUACUAUACAAGAAAGCACCGGCUAACUACGUGCCAGCAGCCGCGGUAAUACGUAGGGUGCUAGCGUUGUUCGGAAUUACUGGGCGUAAAGCGUAUGUAGGCGGCCAUUUAAGUCAGAUGUG
rnacentral:rRNA from 1 species